rnacentral:rRNA from 1 species
AGAGUUUGAUCCUGGCUCAGAUUGAACGCUGGCGGAACGCUUUACACAUGCAAGUCGAACGGUAACGCGGAGAGAAGCUUGCUUCUCUCCGGCGACGAGUGGCGAACGGGUGAGUAAUACAUCGGAACGUGUCCGCUCGUGGGGGACAACCAGCCGAAAGGUUGGCUAAUACCGCAUGAGUUCUACGGAAGAAAGAGGGGGACCCGCAAGGGCCUCUCGCGAGCGGAGCGGCCGAUGACUGAUUAGCCGGUUGGUGAGGUAACGGCUCACCAAAGCAACGAUCAGUAGCUGGUCUGAGAGGACGACCAGCCACACUGGGACUGAGACACGGCCCAGACUCCUACGGGAGGCAGCAGUGGGGAAUUUUGGACAAUGGGCGCAAGCCUGAUCCAGCUAUUCCGCGUGUGGGAUGAAGGCCCUCGGGUUGUAAACCACUUUUGUAGAGAACGAAAAGACACCUUCGAAUAAAGGGUGUUGCUGACGGUACUCUAAGAAUAAGCACCGGCUAACUACGUGCCAGCAGCCGCGGUAAUACGUAGGGUGCGAGCGUUAAUCGGAAUUACUGGGCGUAAAGGGUGCGCAGGCGGUUGAGUAAGACAGAUGUGAAAUCCCCGAGCUUAACUCGGGAAUGGCAUAUGUGACUGCUCGACUAGAGUGUGUCAGAGGGAGGUGGAAUUCCACGUGUAGCAGUGAAAUGCGUAGAUAUGUGGAAGAACACCGAUGGCGAAGGCAGCCUCCUGGGACAUAACUGACGCUCAGGCACGAAAGCGUGGGGAGCAAACAGGAUUAGAUACCCUGGUAGUCCACGCCCUAAACGAUGUUAACUAGUUGUUGGGA